rnacentral:rRNA from 1 species
UACAGAGGUCCCGAGCGUUAUCCGGAUUCAUUGGGUUUAAAGGGUGCGUAGGCGGGUAAGUAAGUCCGUGGUGAAAUCUCUGAGCUUAACUCAGAAACUGCCGUGGAUACUAUUUGCCUUGAAUAUUGUGGAGGUGAGCGGAAUAUGUCAUGUAGCGGUGAAAUGCUUAGAUAUGACAUAGAACACCAAUUGCGAAGGCAGCUCACUACACAAUCAUUGACGCUGAGGCACGAAAGCGUGGGGAUCAAACAGG